CUGGUUCCGGUUCACGUCCCGCCGUCCGAGGCGGCGACGACCCGGCGACC
rnacentral:ncRNA from 1 species